rnacentral:tRNA from 1 species
AGCAGGUAUAACUCAAUUGGUAGAGUGUAAUCUUGCCAAGAUUAAAGAUAAGGGUUCGAAUCCCUUUACUUGCUUC